rnacentral:miRNA from 1 species
GGGUCUCACUGUGUUCUCAGAUCUGACUCAUUCUCGUGUAUAAUUCUCUUUUCUCUUUUUCUUUUAUUUGUUGGUGGCGGUUUGGUCCAAUUGUGUGUGGUGGUUUUUUGCUAUAUAUGGAAAGCUUUAUCUUCUGCUAUAUGGAUUUUUCAUUUUUGUAAAUUUUUUUUUUCCCUUCUCUCAUUCUUGGGACAUAGAAAUUGACAGAAGAGAGUGAGCACACAGAGGCACUUGUAUAAGCCUAUACUUUUGCUUUUGCGUGCUCACUUCUCUUUCUGUCAGCUUCCAGUGACCGGAAUCUGAUCACUUUUGGGAUCAGUUCACGGCUACCUGUUUUCAUGUUCCAGAAUCAUUAAAAAAGUUUAAGCCUGCAGGUAAUUAACAGAGACCACAGACGAGCAACUUCUUAUCGUAAGAUAAGUUGGAUGGAGCUGGAGGAGGAUUGGUGAACAACUUACGAUGACAAACUCUUCAUUCAAGUAGGCUUGGAGUCUUUUUAGGGAACCAUCAACUCAUUUAUGAUGGGUAGAAGUUUUUAAGAGAAGGUGAUUAGCAAGGUAUUUGAAUACUUGAUCACAAGAAUCUCGGCGCUUCAGAGUACUGGUGUAGUUGUCUUCAUGAAGCAUCAGCUACAAACGCAUUUUUGAGUUGUUGGGGAUUUUUUUUGUUUUUAUUUUUUUAUUGCUGUUUAAUUAAAUAAAUUUUGAGUAGUUGGGGUGGUUUUGUUUUUGUUUGGCAAAAGUUGAUGUGAUAUCGUGGUGGUUUGUGGUUGAUUGAUAUAUACGGUGGAGUGUGAAGAGUGAUGUGACAAAUGUACUUUGGCGGGAAAUUAUAAAACCAAAGCAAAUCUACCAUUCUCAAAAAAAAAAAAAAAAAAAAAA